rnacentral:rRNA from 1 species
GAUUAACGCUGGCGGCAUGCCUAAUACAUGCAAAUCGAACGAAGCACUUGUGCUUAGUGGUGAACGGGUGAGUAACACGUAUCCAAUCUACCCUUAGGUUGGGGAUAACUGGUCGAAAGACUAGCUAAUACCGAAUAUCAAUACUCCUAUCGCAUGAGAAAGUAUUGAAAGAUCCUUUUGGAUCGCCUUUGGAUGAGGGUGCGGCAUAUCAGAUAGUUGGUGAGGUAACGGCUCACCAAGUCAAUGACGUGUAGCUGUACUGAGAGGUAAAACAGCCACAAUGGGACUGAGACACGGCCCAUACUCCUACGGGAGGCAGCAGUAGGGAAUUUUUCACAAUGGGCGAAAGCCUGACGGAGCAAUGUCGCGUGGAGGACGAAGGCUCGUGGGUUGUAAACUCCUUUUGUCGAAGAAGAAUCUAUGACGGUAUUCGGCGAAUAAGCAUCGGCUAAUUCUGUGCCAGCCGCCGCAGUAAAAC